GGCUACCUUUUCUGACAACCUCAACUCCCGGCCACUGGCUCUGGCUAUCUCAUCCAACAACCCCGUCAUGCAUGACGGCGAUAUGGCUGCGGAGCUUGCAAAAUACGAGGUGUGCCCUCUUGUUCAUUCCACUGGUGCUGUGGGGGCCGUGGAGGUUCAUUUGCAAACUAAUAUAGUGGAAGAGGUUAAAAUCAAUGAACUGAGCAAUGGCCUAGUUGAGCGCCUGGAAAAUAAUAAGGUCUUUAAAGGUUGUCUGGGAGACGGGCUCGGUGCCGUCACUAGUGUAGUUGUUCUUGAAUUAGAUGAUAACAUUGCUCUUAUCACACCUCUAAUAGAGGAAGCUGACGAUUUUAAACCCGAAGAGGAGGCGGUUAACUUGAGCGGCG
rnacentral:misc_RNA from 1 species